rnacentral:rRNA from 1 species
UCAAACGAUGGGGUGACGCAGGAAGGUAGCUGAACCCGGGCGAUGGUAGUCCCGGGGUAAGGAUGUAGGGCGAGACGUAGGCAAAUCCGCGUCUCACAUGCCUGAGAUCCGAUGCCGAGCCGAUUAGGCGAGGUCAGUGAUCCUAUGCUGCCGAGAAAAGCCUCUAGUGAGUGGCACCGCGGCCCGUACCCCAAACCGACACAGGUGGUCAGGUAGAGAAUACCAAGGCGAUCGAGUGAACCAUGGUUAAGGAACUCGGCAAAAUGCCCCCGUAACUUCGGGAGAAGGGGGGCCCCGACCGGUGACAGGACUUGCUCCUGAAGCUGGCUGAGGCCGCAGAGACCAGGCUGAAGCGACUGUUACUAAAAACACAGGUCCAUGCCAAGUCGCAAGACGAUGUAUAUGGACUGACGCCUGCCCGGUGUUGGAACGUUAAGGGGACGGGUUAGCGCGCAAGCGCGAAGCUCAGAACUUAAGCGCCAGUAAACGGCGGUGGUAACCUUAACCAUCCUAAGGUAGCGAAAUUCCUUGUCGGGUAAGUUCCGACCUGCACGAAUGGCGUAACGACUUCAGCGCUGUCUCAACCGUGGACUCGGCGAAAUUACACUACGAGUAAAGAUGCUCGUUACGCGCGGCAGGACGAAAAGACCCCGGGACCUUUACUAUAGCUUUGUAUUGGUGGUUGGUUCGGCUUGUGUAGGAUAGGUGGGAGACUGUGAAGCAGGGACGCCAGUUCUUGUGGAGUCGUCCUUGAAAUACCACUCUGGUCGUACUGGCUGUCUAACCUAGGUCCGUGAUCCGGAUCAGGGACAGUGCAUGGUGGGUAGUUUAACUGGGGCGGUUGCCUCCUAAAGAGUAACGGAGGCGCUCAAAGGUUCCCUCAGCCUGGUUGGCAAUCAGGUGUCGAGUGCAAGUGCACAAGGGAGCUUGACUGUGAGACCGACGGGUCGAGCAGGGACGAAAGUCGGAACUAGUGACCCGGCGUCGGCAUGUGGAAGCGACGUCGCUCAACGGAUAAAAGGUACCCCGGGGAUAACAGGCUGAUCUUCCCCAAGAGUCCAUAUCGACGGGAUGGUUUGGCACCUCGAUGUCGGCUCGUCGCAUCCUGGGGCUGGAGUAGGUCCCAAGGGUUGGGCUGUUCGCCCAUUAAAGCGGUACGCGAGCUGGGUUUAGAACGUCGUGAGACAGUUCGGUCCCUAUCCGCCGUGCGCGUAAGAGUCUUGAGAAGGGCUGUCCCUAGUACGAGAGGACCGGGACGGACGAACCUCUGGUGUGCCAGUUGUCCUGCCAAGGGCACGGCUGGUUGGCUACGUUCGGAACGGAUAACCGCUGAAAGCAUCUAAGCGGGAAGCCGGCUUCAAGAUGAGGACUCUCAUCGGGUUAACCGGGUAAGGCCCCCAGCGAGACCACUGGUUGAUAGGCCGGAGGUGGAAGUGCAGCAAUGCAUGGAGCUGACCGGUACUAAUAGGCCGAGGGCUUGACCAC